rnacentral:tRNA from 2 species
UAGCUCAGUUGGUAGUAGCGCAUGACUGUUAAUCAUGAUGUCGUAGGUUCGAGUCCUACU